AAUGAACGCUGGCGGCGCGCCUAAUACAUGCAAGUCGAGCGAAGAAGACGUAGCAAUACGUUUGUAAAGCGGCGAACGGGUGAGGAAUACAUGGGUAACCUACCCUCGAGUGGGGAAUAACUAGCCGAAAGGUUAGCUAAUACCGCGUACGCUCCUUGGACUUCGGUUCAGGGAGGAAAGCGAUACCGUGGUAUCGCGCUCUUGGUUGGGCUCAUGUCCUAUCAGCUUGUUGGUGAGGAACGGCUCACCAAGGCUUCGACGGUAGCUGGUCUGAGAGGACGAUCAGCCACACUGGCACUGCGACACGGGCCA
rnacentral:rRNA from 1 species